UUUACGGAGAGUUUGAUCCUGGCUCAGGAUGAACGCUGGCGGCGUGCUUAACACAUGCAAGUCGAACGGUGAAGCCAAGCUUGCUUGGUGGAUCAGUGGCGAACGGGUGAGUAACACGUGAGCAACCUGCCCUGAACUCUGGGAUAAGCGCUGGAAACGGCGUCUAAUACUGGAUAUGAGCUGCGGAGGCAUCUUCGUGGUUGGAAAGAUUUUUCGGUUUGGGAUGGGCUCGCGGCCUAUCAGCUUGUUGGUGAGGUAAUGGCUCACCAAGGCGUCGACGGGUAGCCGGCCUGAGAGGGUGACCGGCCACACUGGGACUGAGACACGGCCCAGACUCCUACGGGAGGCAGCAGUGGGGAAUAUUGCACAAUGGGCGGAAGCCUGAUGCAGCAACGCCGCGUGAGGGAUGACGGCCUUCGGGUUGUAAACCUCUUUUAGCAGGGAAGAAGCGAAAGUGACGGUACCUGCAGAAAAAGCGCCGGCUAACUACGUGCCAGCAGCCGCGGUAAUACGUAGGGCGCAAGCGUUAUCCGGAAUUAUUGGGCGUAAAGAGCUCGUAGGCGGUUUGUCGCGUC
rnacentral:rRNA from 1 species